rnacentral:lncRNA from 1 species
UUUUUUUUUUUUUUAAUAACAUUUUAUUUUUUUUUUAAUUUUUUUAUUUAUUUAUGAUAGUCACAGAGAGAGAGAGAGAGAGAGAGGCAGAGACACAGGCAGAGGGAGAAGCAGGCUCCAUGCACCGGGAGCCUGAUGUGGGAUUCGAUCCCGGGUCUCCAGGAUCGCGCCCUGGGCCAAAGGCAGGCGCCAAACCGCUGCGCCACCCAGGGAUCCCCCAUUCUUCCAUUAUCUUGAAGAAUAAUUCCUAGCCUCUACUGAGAAGGUUUGUCCACACUAAUCUCCUUAUCUAAUGGUCUCCUGGCCAGACCCUGAGUGUUCUCACUUUUUACAAUGUGGAUAGGCUAAGAAUUUUCCAAAUCUUUAAGUCCUGCUUCCUUUUUGCUUAACAAUUCCAACUUUAAGUCUUUUCUCUUUUCUAGUAUUAUAUAAGCAAUCAGGAGCCAAGGCUCUAUUUCAAGAUUUUGCUUAGCAAUUUCUCCAGCUAAAUAACUAAUUUCAGUGAAAGUUCUACCUGCUAUAAAACACUAGAACACAAAUACAAUUCAACCAAGUUCUUUGCCACUUUGUAACAAGGAUUGCUUCACCUCCAUUUCUAAUAUAUUCUUCCUUUCUCUCUGAGACCUUGUCACAAUGGCUCUUACCAUCUAUUGGCUCUUACUAUCAAUGGCUAUUACCAUCUAAUAUUUCUACAAAUAUUUUGUUCAUGAUUAUGGAGGUAUUCUUUAAGAAGAUGGAAGCUUUCUUUACAUUUCUUCUCUUUUCCUUCUGAACUCUCUCCAGAAUCACCUUUGAAGGUCCCUUCACAACAAUGUAGACUUUUUCUAGAAUGCACCUCAAGUGCCACCAGCUUCUAUCCAUUAUCUGAUUCCAAAGCAGCUUCCACACUUUUAGACAUUUGUUACAGCAACAUUCCACUUUGUGGUACUAAUUUCUGUCUUAGUCUGUUCAGGCUGUAUGACAAAUAUAUCAUAGACCAGGUGACUUAAACAACAAAUAUUUAUUUCUCACAGUUCUGGGAAGUCCACACUCAAAGUAUGAGCAGCUUUGUGUCUGGUGAGGGCCCACUUCCUGGAUCAUAGAUAACUGCCCAUUUUCUGACCAUGUCCUCAUGCAGAGAAGGGGAAAAGGAACCCUGGGUACUAUUUCAUAAGGGCACUAAUCCUAGUGAUGAGGGCUCCACUCUCACAACAUAAUAACCACCUCCCAAAGGUCCCACCUCCAAAUAACAUCAUGUUGAGUAGUAGGUAUGAAUUUUUCAGGGAGACACAUUCAAUCUAUAGCAGUUAUUUAGAUCAUCUUUUUUUUUUUUGAGGAUUGCAUUUGGAUAUAUUAUUCUAAGUUAUAUUUCUUCUAGAAGAAGUUUUGUAAAUUGGUAAUUGUUCCAUUUCAAUCUCUGAUAUUAAGUCACUUACUUCAUCAGCAGCAAAAGAGGAGUUUGACUAGAUGCAUUGUCUGGGAAGAAGCAGCCACUUCAGAAAUGCUAAAUGUCUUGCGCUGAAAUCCAUUAUAACAGAGCUUGAGAAAGAAAUGUAAAAUAGUAUUUAAAUCCUCAUCUAAAAACUGCAAUCAGUAAUAAAUAUGAAGCCAAAGCAGCAAAUAUUUAAAUGACAACUUUAUAUCUCUUUAAAUGCAAUAUAAUGUCCUGGCUGUAUCAUAAUGACAUCAUUAUGAACAGAAAGCCUUGAUCUGCAGUACCAAGAUAUUUUACAGUAACUUUUGUCCAGUGAUGUACCCAAAAAAACUCUAUGCCCUUUAAGUAGACUCAUACUCACCCAUGAUUUGGUGAUAGGUUCUGCCCAAAAACUUGUAAGGUAGUGAUAGUAAAGCAUAAACAUUAGGGUCAGAAUCUGAAGAUAUUAAGUUGAAUAUUUUUGUCUUUUAUUAGUUACUGAACAUUUCCUGGUUUCAGAUUCAGUACCUUUAAAAUGGGAAUAAUGAUGUUCAUCCUGAACAUGUCUGAGAAUGAAAUAAUCAAAUAAACUGUAUUACUUAUAAGAUGUGAAUUCAGUGAAAUAAGUCAAUCAGAGAAGGACAAACAUUAUAUGGUCUCAUUCAUUUGGGGAAUAUAAAAAGUAGUGAAGGGGAAUAGAGGGUAAGGGAGAAAAAAUGAGAGGGAGAUAUCAGAGAGGGAGACGGAGCAUGGAAGACUCCUACCUCUGGGAAACGCACUAGGGGUGGUGGAAAGGGAGGUGGGCAGGAAGUGGGGGUGACUGGGUGAUGGCCAGGUGGACACUUGACGGGAUGAGCAUUGGGUGUUAUUCUAUAUGUUGGCAAAUUGAACACCAAUAAACAUAAAUUUAAAUUAAAAAAAGAAAAGAAAGCUAUGAAUUCAGUAAGAUAUUAUUGAUAUCACCAUUAUCUAAUCUUCAUCAUCAUAAUCAUCAUCAUUUAAUGUUAAGGGGCACCAUUUUUAACAGUAAACUCAGUCUUAUCAUAGUUGAUUUUUAAGAUGUAAGCUGCUAAAGUAAGAAAAGAUAAGAAAAACAUAAGAACAUAA